rnacentral:rRNA from 1 species
UACGUAGGUGGCAAGCGUUGUCCGAAUUUACUGGGCGUAAAGAGCGCGCAGGCGGUCGAUCAAGUCGAGUGUGAAAGCCCCCGGCUCAACUGGGGAGGGUCAUUCGAUACUGAUCGACUCGAAGGCAGGAGAGGGAAGUGGAAUUCCCGGUGUAGUGGUGAAAUGCGCAGAUAUCAGGAGGAACACCAACGGCGAAGGCAGCACUCUGGGCCGGUACUGACGCUGAGGAGCGAAAGCGUGGGGAGCGAACAGG